AUUGAACGCUGGCGGCAGGCCUAACACAUGCAAGUCGAGCGAGCGGCGGACGGGUGAGUAAUGUAUGGGGACUGCCCGAUAGAGGGGGAUAACUACUGGAAACGGUGGCUAAUACCGCAUACUAUCGGAUAACCCAUAUGGGAUUAGCUGUUAGGUGGGGUAAAGGCUCACCUAGGCGAUGAUCUCUAGCUGGUCUGAGAGGAUGAUCCGCAACACGGGGAGGGAGAAAGGGCCAGAACUCCUACGGAGGAAGCAGUGGGGAAUAUUGGACAAUGGGCGCAAGCCUGAUGCGGCAAUGCGGCGGGUAUUAAAAAGGCCUUAGGGUUGUAAAGUAUUUUCAGCGGGGAGGCGUUACCCGAAGAAAAAGCACCGGCUAACUCCGUGCCAGCAGCCGCGGUAAUAC
rnacentral:rRNA from 1 species